UGUCCUGGCAGCACUCUCAUGUGGUCUUCUCUCUCCCUGUCUCGCUCUCUACCUCUGAAAGGUAUUGCUUCUUCUCAAGGAUGUACUGGAUUUGCUGCAACUCAGUCACCAUGGGGACGGUUACCGAGGAAAUAUUGAGAGGAAGAGAGGCGAGGAAGUGAAGAUGCAUGCAGCAGAAAUAAAGAAGAAUACGAGAGGCCGGUGCUACACAGCAUCGUGUUGGAUCUGCUCACAUUCACCCACGGUCGGUCGUCGGCUAUAGGAGGAGAGACCUGGCAGCCAUGCAACCCGCUCCAUCAAAGGGGUACAGCGAGGGAGAGAAGGGCACCAGUCCAACGAGAUCGCUCCUCUCAAUUUCGGGAACACUGCUUUUGGACCAUCAGCAUUUACAGUCAGAGCGGCAGAAAAUGGAACUGGUAAUGGCAACGGAUAAUGGAAAUGGAACUCAAUUUGCAUACGUACGAGAGAAUGCACAGGCUUAAGUGUUCGGAAACAUGUUAAACAUGGCUCAAGACAGACAAAUCAUGUGAUCACUGAUCUAAGAGUGAACACACACGUUAUAAGAAUGAAGCCUUACUGACAAGAGUCUUAAAUUAUUCAUUCAAUGAAUCUCUAUCCGCUUCUCCCCUCUUCUACACAUGCAUUUAAACAUCCUCAAACAAGUGCAUGAUACUUUAUAACCCUCCAGAGAGAAAGGCCACUGGUGGCAAUAAUGCAAUAUCCAAUAUUCCGAAAGUAAAAAUG